AGGGAAUCUUCCACAAUGGACGCAAGUCUGAUGGAGCAACGCCGCGUGAGUGAAGAAGGUCUUCGGAUCGUAAAGCUCUGUUGUUGGUGAAGAAGGAUAGAGGCAGUAACUGGUCUUUAUUUGACGGUAAUCAACCAGAAAGUCACGGCUAACUACGUGCCAGCAGCCGCGGUAAUACGUAGGUGGCAAGCGUUGUCCGGAUUUAUUGGGCGUAAAGCGAGCGCAGGCGGAAUGAUAAGUCUGAUGUGAAAGCCCACGGCUCAACCGUGGAACUGCAUCGGAAACUGUCAUUCUUGAGUGCAGAAGAGGAGAGUGGAACUCCAUGUGUAGCGGUGGAAAUGCGUAGAUAUAUGGAAGAACACCAGUGGCGAAGGCGGCUCUCUGGUCUGCAACUGACGCUGAGGCUCGAAAGCAUGGGUAGCGAACAGGAUUAGAUACCCUGGUAGUCCAUGCCGUAAACGAUGAGCGCUAGGUGUUGGGGACUUUCCGGUCCUCAGUGCCG
rnacentral:rRNA from 1 species